rnacentral:rRNA from 1 species
AAGUCGUAACAAGGUUUCCGGUAUGUAUCCUCCCACCUGGAGUCUCGAGAAUCUUUCACUAACAACCAUUAUAGUAGGUGAACCUGCGGAAGGAUCAUUACCGAGUUCGGGUCCUCGUGGCCCAAUCUCCAACCCUUGUGUUUAACUACAACCACGUUGCUUCGGCGGGCCCGCCUCCCCGGAGGCCGCCGGACGUCAUGUCUGGCCCGUGCCUGUCGAUAGCCCAACUCCAAACUCUUGUUCAAACAUGUCGUCUGAGUUACAAACAAAAAAUAAAUCAAAACUUUCAACAACGGAUCUCUUGGUUCUGGCAUCGAUGAAGAACGCAGCGAAAUGCGAUAAGUAAUGCGAAUUGCAGAAUUUCCGUGAGUCAUCGAAUCUUUGAACGCACAUUGCGCCCCUUGGUAUUCCGAGGGGCAUGCCUGUUCGAGCGUCAUUAUCAACCCUCAAGCCUGGCUUGAUGUUGGACCGCGUCACGCCUGUGACCGGCCCCAAAGACAGUGACGGCGUCUGUGGGACCCUCCGUGCAAUGAGUCGUUACCGGCACGCACGCGAGUUUAGGCACCACCGGACCCGGCCUUUUGAAUUAUCAUUUCAUCAAGGUUGACCUCGGAUCAGGUAGGGAUACCCGCUGAACUUAA